rnacentral:rRNA from 1 species
GUUGACCUCGGAUCAGGUAGGGCUACCCGCUGAACUAAGCAUAUCAAUAAGAAGCCUCUGUGAGGCUCCCUCGACGAGUCGAGUAGUUUGGGAAUGCUGCUCAAAAUUGGAGGUAUAUGUCUUCUAAAGCUAAAUACCGGCCAGAGACCGAUAGCGCACAAGUAGAGUGAUCGAAAGAUGAAAAGCACUUUGAAAAGAGGGUUAAACAGUACGUGAAAUUGUUGAAAGGGAAGCGCCCGCGACCAGACUCGGGCCCGGCGGGAUCAUCCGGCGUUCCUCGCCGGUGCACUCCGCCGGCGCCCGGGCCAGCAUCGGCUCGCCGCGGGGGAUAAAGGCGGCCGGAACGUGGCCCCUCCGGGGGUGUUAUAGCCCGCCGCGCAACGCCCCGCGCCGGGCCGAGGACCGCGCCCUAGGCAAGGAUGCUGGCGUAAUGGUCGCUAGCGACCCGUCUUGAAACACGGACCAAGGAGUCGUCUUCGUAUGCGAGUGUUCGGGUGUCAAACCCCUACGCGCAAUGAAAGUGAACGCGGGUGAGAGCCCUCGCGGGCGCAUCACCGACCGAUCCUGAUGUUCUCGGAUUGGAUUUGAGUAAGAGCAUACGGGGCCGGACCCGAAAGAAGGUGAACUAUGCCUGUGUAGGGUGAAGCCAGAGGAAACUCUGGUGGAGGCUCGCAGCGGUUCUGACGUGCAAAUCGAUCGUCAAACAUGGGCAUGGGGGCGAAAGACUAAUCGAACCUUCUAGUA